AGUGAACGCUGGCGGUAGGCCUAACACAUGCAAGUCGAACGGCAGCACAGUAAGAGCUUGCUCUUACGGGUGGCGAGUGGCGGACGGGUGAGGAAUACAUCGGAAUCUACUUUUUCGUGGGGGAUAACGUAGGGAAACUUACGCUAAUACCGCAUACGACCUACGGGUGAAAGCAGGGGAUCUUCGGACCUUGCGCGAUUGAAUGAGCCGAUGUCGGAUUAGCUAGUUGGCGGGGUAAAGGCCCACCAAGGCGACGAUCCGUAGCUGGUCUGAGAGGAUGAUAAGCCACACUGGAAAUGAGACACGGUCCAGACUCCUACGGGAGGCAGCAGUGGGGAAUAUUGGACAAUGGGCGCAAGCCUGAGCCAGCCAUACCGCGUGGGGGAAGAAGGCCUUCGGGUUGUAAAGCCCUUUUGUUGGGAAAGAAAAGCAGCAGGUUAAUACCCCGCUGUUCUGACGGUACCCAAAGAAUAAGCACCGGCUAACUUCG
rnacentral:rRNA from 1 species